ACUGGAUAUUGUGGAGUGGAGUUUGUAGUGCUCGUAAUGCUAUAAUUUGAAAAGAAAAAGAAAAAUGUCAGACAUAACUCGUUAAAAUCUGUUGAACCUGUAAGCUACAACUUCUCUGAUUUACAAGAUUUAACAUUUUUUUAAUCCUGCAUAGUGCACCUUUAAAUGUACUACAAACAAAAAAUGCAAACAAACCUCAAGAAUUGCUCAGGAGAUAAAGCUCAAUGAUCAAUCUAAACAAAGAAAGAAUGAACAAAAAAAUGAAUAAAUUAAUGCUUGACAGCACACAACAGGGACAGUUAAUAACAACAAAACACAGGUCUACGACUUUCAAUAUACCUCUUAUGACUAAAACCAGAAAAAAAAAAAUCUAAUUUUAUUCUUAAUAUAAACAAUGAAUAUGCUGUCUCUCCAAAUAUAUGUCAGGACACAAAAAACACACCACAUGCCAAUAAAUACCAACAUUAAGGCAACUACAACAAAUAACCUGCUAGAGGCUAAAAAGAGAGAUUUAUUUAAUUUCAUUUAUUUAUUUAUUUUCAAAAAAUAUUUUUAUACUCGCCAAAGCUGAUAAAUUUAGUAAAAACAGUAAUAUUGUCAAUUAUUAUUACAGCUUAAAUUUACUUUUUAUUUUAUUAUAUUUUUACAUUUAAUUUAUUUUGGUGAUGGCAAACUGAAUUAUCAUAGUGUACUCCAUUUGUCAGUGUCAUGUUAUCAUCAAUAUUGAAAACAGUUGUGCUGCCUCAUAUUUUUGUGGAAAAGGUGAAUUAUAACUAUUAAUUUUGGGUUCAAUUUUUUUUUAUACUUUUACUAAGCAGACAUGAACUUAUCAAAAGUGUCAGUAUUUAACUGUUACAUAAGAUUUUGGACUUUUUUUUACUUUAUAUUCAAAGAAUGCUGAAAAAUGCAUCAGUUUAUUACAAAUCUUUAAAAUGCAUAACAGUUUAUCACAAAAAGUUUUGUGUUGCCCUUAAGGCAGUUAAUAAUUUAAUAAAUAAGUUAAAUGGUUUAAAAUGUUUAAAUGAAGCAUUUCUAAGAGUUUCUUAUAAGUAUUUCAUGUGUAUUUGUAAGUUUUAUUUAAAAAAUAUUAGCGGACAUUUUGAUUCUGGCUCGGCCGCGUUAACUUCCGGUUCGGCCGCGAUAACUUCCGGUUUCGGUUUCAUGGUAAACAGAGCAGGCGAAAUCCAGCAUGGUACGGUCAGCAAUCUGUCGCCAUUCUCACUAAAGCACUGUCAAGGCAAUGCCUUUUCACCAUCUGGAGAAGAAAUUAAAAUGCAAAAACGUCCUUUGUGGUCCUGGUCUUCUUCAGUGGUUUAUCUACGUGUUCAUUUGGCAACAUAACAGUAGCACAUUGUGCAUAUUCACUGUAUGGAAGUGUUGGUAUCCUCUGAACUUGAUGUGUCUUUUCAGCUUCACCUGUAGUAGCUGGGACUCACUGUUAGGCCUUGGCAGGCAGUUGACUGUUUUCUCCACCUCAGAGGGCACACACACAACAGCACCAUACACUGAUCUUUGCUGUCCUUUGGGCAAUGCAACUAUUUUUGCAAAAGGAACAAUUUUGGCGAUAAGCUGUCGUUCAAGUACAUUCAGUUCAAGCAGUUCUGCAGGGAUGGGAGGCAAUUCAAGUCUGUUUGCCGCUGCAAUAGAAGGCAUGGAUCCUCUUUUCAGAUGAUUGUCACAGGUGUGGCAGAUCCACUCCUGUCUUCGCUCUUCUGGAACUGCACAAGAAACUGAGCAGGCACUGUCACAAGCAUGAACAUAUUUCCCGGUUAAGCAAGAAGCUGUAAUAUGAACAUUUUUGACAUAUCGUGUUCUAUUACACAUCUUGACUUGAUUUGGAAAAAGGGUCCUGUGACAGACUGUGCAGAUGUAAGUUGGACCAUGCAGAAUUUGACACCGAAAUGCAGAUAUGGCCUUUUGUAUUAAGCUGUUGGACACAGGCUGGUUUGUCACAUCAGAAUUGGGUGUAUCCUGGCUGGAACAAAUGUAUGGCUUGUAUUUUCUCUUGAUCCUUAAUGCACAUCUCAACUUGUGAAGAAUCUGGAAUCCAGGAUCGGUGAGACACUUUUGUUUCUUCUGGAGAGUACAACGUAGAAUGUGAUGUGACCUAAACUUUGAAUCACUUGCAUAUCUUCUGGCCAAGUAGUCCUUCAUCUUCUUCUGGAAAAGAUCAUCAGUGUGGUACCUCCUGACCAAGUAGUCCUUCUUCUUCUUCUGGAAAAGAUCUUCAGUGUUGUACCUCCUGACCAUGUAGUCCUUCUUCUUCUUCUGGAAAAGAUCAUCGGUCUUGUACCUCCUGAACAUGUAGUCCUUCUUCUUCUUCUGGAAAAGAUCAUCAAUCUUGUACUUCCUGAACAUGUAGUCCUUCAUUUUGUUCUGGAAAAGAGCAUCUGUCUUGUACCUCGUGACCAUGUAGUUCUUCAUUUUCCUUUGGAAAAGAGCAUCAGUGUGGUACCGCUUAAUUAUGUACCCCUUCUGCUUUUUUUGAAAGAGAACAUCUGUGUUGUACCUCCUGGUAAUGUAUUCCAUCUUUUUGUGUCUGGCAAAAGGAUCUUGAUCAUACUUCUUUUUGGUAAUCUCCUUUUUCUUCAUCCGAAACUGCAAAUUGGUGGCAUAUUUCUCUCUCUCAUAUUCUCUUCUUUUUUGUUUUCGUACUUCAAAAUGUGAAGAUGUAGCCUCUAGUCCUGCAUCUUGCUUUUCAUAAACAAUUUUACGCAUUUCUUUUCUUCUUCGCUGCUUGUUUGUUUUCAAAAGCUUUAUGACACUUUUGUUUUUGUCAUCUGUCAGAACAACAUUUUCAGGGAUUCUGACAUCAGCAUUUGUUUGUGUUUUUGGCAGAGAUGAAGUUACUUCUGAUGGUGACACACAUGCUGCUGAUGAGCAUGGUUCCUCAGCCUGUUGCUCCAUUUCAAAUGAAACAGCCAUGAACUCAUAGCAAGCCUGAGGACCACGAUUCCAAAAAAGCUCAAGUAAUCUGUUGGUCAUGUCAUGCAAGUUGGUGAAAGUUAGCAUAACUGCGGUUCCGUCACCAGUAGGAUGUGGCAAACCUUCAGCAGUUCUGGAAUGUGAAUCAAAAAAUCCAUAUCUUCCAGAACUGUCUCUGAACACAGCAAAGCACUCUGGAGAAACAAUAAGCAGUGCAUGGCUGACAUCUGUUGAGAGACACUGAAGUCUUUCGUCAAGAGGAAUCCACCACGCGUCCAUUUCAGGAGUUCCUCUGUCUCUCAGAUAUCCCAUCAACACUUCUGACUUUUGGACACUGUAGUUGUGGUUAGAAGUUGAGAUGCUCACAGGUACUUCACCCAUGCUUAGAAGAUCCUGUCGGAAUCUUCCUUCAGCAAUAAGCUGCAUUUUAAUGCCAACAUACAAAGCAUCCCCUUCCUCUAGCACUCUGUCAAGAUCAGGCUGUUCGAACAAAGUUCCCUCACUGUGGUACGCAAGGAAUGUCAGAGCUACACACGUGCACUGAUGAUUUCGUGAGAAAACAUCAUACCUUGCAUCACUCUGGCAAUGAGACGCCUGCACGGAUAGAAUUCUAGAUGUGUUGUUGCCAUCUUCGUACUGCUGUCCAUCAGAAACCUGAGCAACACCUUUACUGAUGCUCGUCUGUCCUGUCAGGUCUAACUUUCUCCAACAAACUUUUUGAGCCUGGGAUCUCCUACCUUUCCGAGGCAUCCUUCAAAAGAACAAAAGACAAAAUAUGAGAAAACAGACCAAAGACAUGAUACAAAAUAAUCCAUGACAUAUCUGACUAGCCCAUUAAUUACAAAGAAAUAACUUGGUCAAAGAGUUGGGAAUUCUACAACUCCACAAGCAUGUACAGACAUAGAAAUUGUGUAAAUGUGAUGAUCUCUCUGUAGAGGUGCUCUGAAAACACCAUCACAUUCUGCAUCUAUGUACACAAAGUGCUUAAUUUUCAAACAUACUCCACAUUAGAAUAAGUUAAUUUUGUUAAAUUACAGCUUUUGCAAAUUUAUGAUCAUAAUACUCAACCUUUUUUGUACCUAAAUGGGAUUAAAUUAUCUAAGUUUAACGUCUUGAUCAUCUGUUCUGAUUUUUUUCAAUAAUAAUAAUAAUAAUAAUAAGCAGAUGAUUUCACAUUGUCUCUUAAAUAAGUGUUUAGCAAACAAACCUUUUCUUCAUUAUGAGUUUGAACAGAUCUCUGAUUAAAAAUGACUAUAAAAUGGUUUUAAUGCUACAGUCAAAAAGUACUAUAUUCAAUGAGCAUUUUUUUACAGGAUGUUUUCAAUCACUUACUUCACGAAAUGCUGAAGUGAUACAACCUGCAAAGUAUUCUCAAGGAAAAAACAAGUUAGUUAAUUGACAAGAAAAAGAAUGCCUUACAAAUACAGCUAAUAACCUUUUUUCAAUAAAAAGAACAGUAGCAGAUCA
ensembl:lncRNA